AGAAGCUGAAGCAGCGGGGAAUCUUGAAAGAGAGGGUGUUUGGUUGUGACCUGGGGGAGCACCUUCUAAAUUCUGGUUUUGAAGUGCCGCAGGUUCUUCAAAGCUGCACAGCAUUCAUUGAGAGAUAUGGCAUCGUGGAUGGAAUCUAUCGCCUUUCUGGUGUUGCCUCCAAUAUCCAGAGACUACGCCAUGAAUUUGACUCUGAGCAUGUCCCCGACCUGACGAAAGAACCGUAUGUUCAGGACAUCCAUUCUGUGGGCUCCCUGUGUAAGCUGUACUUCCGGGAACUCCCAAACCCUCUGCUUACCUACCAGCUCUAUGAGAAAUUUUCUGAUGCAGUUUCAGCAGCAACAGAUGAAGAAAGGCUGAUAAAAAUCCACGAUGUCAUCCAGCAGCUCCCCCCACCACACUACAGAACACUGGAGUUCCUGAUGAGACACUUGUCUCUUCUAGCUGACUAUUGUUCCAUCACAAAUAUGCAUGCAAAAAAUCUAGCAAUUGUUUGGGCUCCAAACCUGUUAAGAUCAAAACAGAUAGAAUCUGCCUGCUUCAGUGGAACAGCAGCUUUCAUGGAAGUGAGAAUUCAGUCUGUGGUUGUUGAGUUCAUCCUGAAUCACGUUGAUGUGCUCUUCAGUGGCAAAAUCAGCAUGGUCAUGCAAGAAGGGGCAGCUUCUCUAUCAAGGCCCAAGUCCCUCCUGGUAUCCUCUCCAUCCACCAAACUGCUGACAUUGGAAGAGGCCCAGGCACGAACACAAGCUCAGGUCAAUUCUCCAAUUGUGACGGAAAAUAAAUAUAUCGAAGUAGGAGAAGGACCUGCUGCACUUCAGGGGAAAUUUCAUACCAUAAUUGAGUUCCCACUUGAAAGAAAGAGGCCUCAAAAUAAGAUGAAAAAGUCUCCUGUGGGUAGCUGGCGUUCCUUUUUCAACUUGGGGAAAUCAUCAUCUGUUUCUAAACGAAAGCUGCAGCGGAAUGAGAGUGAGCCUUCAGAGAUGAAAGCCAUGGCUCUGAAGGGUGGCAGGGCAGAAGGAACCCUCCGUUCAGCUAAAAGUGAGGAGUCUCUUACAUCUCUCCAUGCAGUUGAUGGUGAUUCUAAGCUCUUCCGACCCAGAAGACCCAGAUCUUCCAGUGAUGCACUGUCUGCCUCUUUUAAUGGAGAAAUGCUGGGGAACCGCUGUAACUCCUAUGAUAACCUGCCUCAUGACAAUGAGAGUGAGGAGGAAGGAGGGCUGCUUCAUAUCCCAGCCCUUAUGUCUCCUCAUUCAGCUGAGGAUGUUGACUUGAGCCCACCAGACAUUGGAGUAGCCAGCCUGGAUUUUGAUCCAAUGUCAUUUCAAUGUAGUCCUCCUAAGGCCGAAUCAGAAUGUCUGGAGAGUGGUGCUUCCUUUUUAGAUUCACCAGGAUACUCCAAGGAUAAACCAAGUGCCAAUAAAAAGGAUGCAGAAACAGGUGGUAGCCAAUGUCAGACUCCAGGAAGCACAGCAAGCUCUGAACCUGUUUCUCCUCUUCAGGAGAAACUGAGUCCAUUCUUUACCCUGGACUUGAGCCCGACUGAAGAGAAAUCACCUAAGCCAUCCUCCUUUACUGAAAAGGUCGUCUAUGCUUUCUCUCCGAAGAUAGGACGGAAAUUAAGCAAAUCACCUUCUGUGAGCAUAUCUGAGCCAAUUUCAGUGACCCUACCACCACGGGUGUCAGAAGUCAUUGGUACAGUCUCAAAUACCACAGCUCAGAAUGCAUCAUCUUCAACCUGGGACAAAUGCGUUGAAGAAAGGGAUGCCACGAAUAGAUCCCCCACCCAGAUAGUAAAGAUGAAAACAAAUGAGACAGAUGCCCAGGAAGCAUAUGAAUCUGAAGUCCAGCCCCUGGACCAGGUGGCUGCUGAAGAAGUAGAAUUGCCAGGGAAAGAGGAUCAGUCUGUCUCAAGCAGUCAGAGUAAGGCUGUAGCUUCUGGACAGACUCAGACAGGUACCGUUUGUUUUCCUCCAUUCUUUCUUUAAGUUAAGAGGGAUCUUCAAUCCUGUGUGCCAUCUGUGCCUUUUAAAAGAGAAAUUUGUCCACAGCUAGCUUUUAAUCAAAGAGAAUGCUUUUCUGGGUGGUGCUGAUGGCUCAAAGCCCUAAAUUAAAAGCAGUCAAACAAAACUCCCCAAAAGGGCCAAUGGUCCUGCUUCAAAUCUUCACAAAAUUCCCCUUAUCUCUUUGGACGGUGAGAAUUCGUGGAUAAUUUUUGCACAACUGCGUAGCUCUCGAUUCUGUUUUCUCUUCUGAUAAAAUAUCUUUAUUGUAGCCUUCCAAGUUAACAAGCCAGCUACACCAUCAAAUAUAAAAACUGUUCAUAAUAACAGUCUACAAGCACUUGAAGCUUGUUUUCUAAGCAAUCUUUUCUGAGCCAGGUGAGGGACCUGCUUUUUUCCCCCCAUCUCUGUAGCAAUUCAAGAAGAGAUUGCGGUCUUUAUACACUGUUUGUUUUAGUUUUCCUUCUGAACCAGAUGUGUUUUCUACAGCAUUUGCAUGUGGGAUAGAAGAUCAUGGAUUGCCAUUUUGAAAUAUGGAAGGCACCUAUUUUUUAAUGAUCACAUGGGGAGUGUUUGGCUUUCCAUUUAGGAUAACGUAAGCUACCUUUUCACUCUCAUUUUUUUUCCCAAUUUCCCACUAGGAGCAGUUACCCAUGACCCCCCUCAGGAUUCCGUUCCUGUCAGUUCAGUCUCUCUUAUCCCACCACCACCGCCUCCGAAAAAUGUUGCCCGAAUGUUGGCGCUAGCAUUAGCUGAGUCCGCACAGCAAGCCUCAACUCAGUCAUUGAAGAGACCAGGGACCUCUCAGGCUGGGUAUACACAUUAUGGAGACAUAGCGGUGGCUACAACUGAAGAUAAUCUGUCCAGUUCUUACUCUGCAGUUGCUCUAGAUAAGGCCUAUUUCCAAACCGAUCGACCAGCAGAGCAGUUCCACCUUCAGAAUAAUGCACCAGGAAACUGUGACCAUCCUCUACCAGAGACAACAGCUAUUGGGGAUCCUACCCAUUCCAACACAACUGAAUCUGGGGAGCAACAUCACCAAGUAGACUUAACAGGGAAUCAGCCACAUCAAGCAUAUUUAUCUGGGGACCCAGAAAAGGCCAGAAUUACUUCAGUUCCCUUAGACUCAGAGAAGUCUGAUGAUCAUGUAAGUUUCGCUGAAGACCAGUCUGGGAAGAACAGUAUGCCAACUGUCUCCUUCUUGGAUCAGGACCAGUCUCCACCCCGUUUCUACAGUGGAGAUCAGCCUCCUUCUUAUCUUGGUGCAAGUGUGGAUAAACUCCAUCACCCUUUAGAAUUUGCAGACAAAUCUUCCACACCUCCUAAUUUACCUAGGGAUAAAAUCUUCCUUCCUUCUGGGUCCCUUGCAGACAAAUCACCCACACCUCCUAAUUUACCUAGCGAUAAAAUCUACCCUCCUUCUGGGUCCCCCGAAGAGAAUACCAGCACAGCCACCAUGACUUACAUGACAGCUACUCCAGCAACAGCCCAAAUGAGCACCAAGGAAGCCACCUGGGAUGUGGCUGAACAACCCACCACUGCUGAUUUUGCUGCUGCCACACUUCAGCGCACUCACAGAACUAAUCGUCCCCUUCCCCCUCCACCUUCCCAGAGAUCUGCAGAGCAGCCACCAGUUGUGGGGCAGGUACAAGCAGCAACCAAUAUAGGAUUAAAUAAUUCCCACAAGGUUCAAGGAGUAGUUCCAGUUCCAGAGAGGCCACCUGAACCUCGAGCCAUGGAUGACCCUGUGUCUGCCUUCAUCAGUGACGGUGGUGCCGCUGCUGCUCAGUGUCCCAUGGCUACAGCUGUCCAGCCAGGCCUGCCUGAGAAAGUGCGGGAUGGUGCCCGGGCCCCGCUGCUGCACCUGCGCGCCGAGUCUGUCCCUGCACAUCCCUGUGGCUUUCCUGCACCACUGCCCCCCACCAGGAUGAUGGAGAGUAAGAUGGUUGCUGCCAUACACUCCAGCAGUGCAGAUGCCACCAGCAGUUCAAAUUAUCAUUCCUUUGUCACUGCUUCAUCCGCCUCUGUGGAUGGUGCAUUGCCUUUACCACUUCCUGUCCCACAACCUAAGCAUGCUUCUCAGAAAACAGUUUACUCCUCCUUUGCUAGGCCCGAUGUCACCACUGAACCCUUUGGUCCAGAAAACUGUUUGCAUUUCAAUAUGACUCCAAACUGCCAGUACCGUCCCCAGAGUGUACCUCCACAUCACAAUAAAUUGGAGCAGCACCAAGUGUAUGGUGCCAGGUCAGAGCCACCAGCCUCCAUGGGUCUUCGUUAUAACACAUAUGUGGCCCCAGGAAGAAACGCAUCUGGACACCACUCCAAGCCAUGCAGCCGGAUCGAGUAUGUGUCUUCUUUGAGCUCCUCUGUUAGGAAUACCUGUUACCCUGAAGACAUUCCACCAUACCCUACCAUCCGGAGAGUGCAGUCUCUCCAUGCUCCGCCGUCUUCCAUGAUUCGCUCUGUUCCCAUUUCACGGACAGAAGUUCCCCCAGAUGAUGAGCCAGCCUACUGCCCAAGACCCCUGUACCAAUAUAAGCCAUAUCAGUCCUCCCAGGCCCGCUCAGAUUAUCAUGUCACUCAGCUUCAGCCUUACUUUGAGAAUGGCCGGGUCCACUACAGGUAUAGCCCAUAUUCCAGUUCUUCUAGUUCCUAUUACAGUCCAGAUGGGGCCCUGUGUGAUGUGGAUGCCUAUGGCACAGUCCAGUUGAGACCCCUUCACCGGCUUCCCAAUCGAGACUUUGCUUUCUACAAUCCUAGGCUGCAAGGAAAGAACUUGUACAGUUAUGCUGGUUUGCCUCCACGUCCCCGGGCCAACGUGACUGGCUAUUUCUCUCCCAACGACCAUAAUGUAGUCAACAUGCCUCCGGCUGCUGAUGUAAAGCACACCUACACCUCAUGGGAUCUUGAGGACAUGGAAAAAUACCGCAUGCAGUCCAUCCGGAGAGAGAGCCGUGCUCGGCAGAAGGUGAAAGGGCCUGUCAUGUCCCAAUAUGAUAACAUGACCCCGCCUGUGCAGGACGACUUGGGUGGGAUCUAUGUCAUCCAUCUGCGUAGUAAAUCAGAUCCUGGGAAAACUGGACUCCUCUCAGUGGCAGAAGGAAAGGAGAGCCGCCAUGCAGCCAAGGCCAUCAGUCCGGAGGGAGAGGACCGCUUCUAUAGGAGGCAUCCCGAGGCAGAGAUGGACAGAGUCCAUCACCACGGAGGCCAUGGUAGCACGCAGCCAGAGAAGCCAUCCCUGCCUCAGAAGCAGAGCAGCCUGAGGAGCAGGAAGCUUCCUGACAUGGGCUGCAGUCUCCCUGAGCACAGGGCACACCAGGAAGCAAGCCAUAGGCAGUUCUGUGAGUCAAAGAAUGGGCCCCCUUAUCCCCAGGGAGCUGGCCAGUUAGAUUAUGGGUCCAAAGGGAUUCCAGACACUUCUGAGCCAGUCAGCUACCAUAACUCUGGAGUAAAAUAUGCUGCAUCCGGGCAAGAAUCUUUAAGACUGAACCACAAAGAGGUAAGGCUCUCAAAAGAGAUGGAGCGACCCUGGGUUAGGCAGCCUUCUGCCCCAGAGAAACACUCCAGAGACUGCUACAAGGAGGAAGAACACCUCACUCAGUCAAUGGUCCCACCCCCUAAACCAGAGAGGAGUCAUAGCCUCAAACUCCAUCAUACCCAGAACGUGGAGAGGGACCCCAGUGUGCUGUACCAAUACCAACCACACGGCAAGCGCCAGAGCAGUGUGACUGUUGUGUCCCAGUAUGAUAACCUGGAAGAUUACCACUCCCUGCCUCAGCACCAGCGAGGAGUCUUUGGAGGGGGCAGCAUGGGGACAUAUGUGCCCCCUGGCUUUCCCCAUCCACAGAGCAGGACCUACGCUACAGCUUUGGGUCAAGGGGCCUUCCUGCCCGCAGAGUUGUCCUUGCAGCAUCCUGAAACACAGAUCCAUGCAGAAUGAGCCCUGGGAGCAAUAGAGUUGAAGCAGCCUCUGCUGGACAGUGGACUGUUCUAUUUUUUUUCAAUAACCAAAAAGAUUAAAAAAACAAAAAAUACUAUAAAACCCCUGACCACAUUUAAAAAAAGAUAAUAAAAGUAAACAAAUCGUAUCUUUUUCCCCUUCCCUGCUUCAUUACCCCCUCUUCCAUCUAUAGACUUUGUCAUUUUUGUCUUUAGAAAAGAUCUGAAGGAUGGUAAAGCCCCGUGCUGAAACCCAGUAGAGAAACCUGUCUCAGGACACACUUGCCAUCUAGGGCUAGCUUGAAAGAGCCUGAGGACUGCCUUUAACUGAAUUUGAAUUCAGCAUUGUCCUUUCUUCUUAGUAUUUGCUGCAUAAUUGAGAGCAGUUCACAUCGAUUUCCUGGUAGGCGUCUGCAUUCCCCGUUGUGUUCCUGCUUCUCCUUCAGUAGCUGCACAACUUGCGCAGAUUGACACACUGUUGUCACUUCAUUCUCCCCGUCUGAGAAGGAUCUUGUGUUCAGUUAGAGUCGUGGAAAAAUCCCUGAUCCUUCAAGAUCAGUCAGACAGUUAGCAACAUUAUAAUUAAAAAUAAGAAAUUAAGACUUUAAACAUUUGGUAGAGUCAUCAUAAAACACCAGACCACUUAGACUCAGGCUGAACCAUACUCUUUCUAUUCUUAUUUUUCAUCCUUGUUCCUCACAGUUCAGUGAACGGGCUCAUAUCAUGACAGAAGGGAUUUUUAAAAGUUACUAUUUAAGGAAACUUCUUUAGGUGGAAGAAAGUAAAGUUCUUAUUGUCAGUGAACUUUGUUAGCACCAGAAAACUCUAUUGAUGCUUUUAAUGCAUUGCCUGCCUUCAGGUUUUCUUCUUACCCCACCCCUCAAUAAGAUUUGGUGAGUUGUAAUUUGAGUAAAACAUGUUAUACCAUUGGUUUUCCUAAAUUAUCAACUUUCUUUCAUUUAAAAAAAAAAAAAAAAA
rnacentral:sRNA from 1 species